AGAGUUUGAUCCUGGCUCAGGAUGAACGCUAGCGACAGGCUUAACACAUGCAAGUCGAGGGGCAGCGAGGGAGUGGCAACACUUCUGUCGGCGACCGGCGCACGGGUGAGUAACGCGUAUGCAACCUGCCCUUCACAGGGGGAUAACCGGGAGAAAUUCCGACUAAUACCGCAUACGUCCUCCGGGGGCAUCCCCGGGGGAUGAAAGAAUUAUCGGUGAAGGAUGGGCAUGCGUGAUAUUAGGUAGUUGGCGGGGCAACGGCCCACCAAGCCCACGAUAUCUAGGGGUUCUGAGAGGAAGGUCCCCCACAUUGGUACUGAGACACGGACCAAACUCCUACGGGAGGCAGCAGUGAGGAAUAUUGGUCAAUGGACGAGAGUCUGAACCAGCCAAGUCGCGUGAAGGAAGACGGAUCUAUGGUUUGUAAACUUCUUUAGUGCGGGAACAAAGCGGCGUCGUGACGCCGGAUGAGUGUACCGCAAGAAUAAGCAUCGGCUAACUCCGUGCCAGCAGCCGCGGUAAUACGGAGGAUGCGAGCGUUAUCCGGAUUUAUUGGGUUUAAAGGGAGCGCAGGCUGCGAGGCAAGUCAGCGGUCAAAUGUCGGGGCUCAACCCCGGCCUGCCGUUGAAACUGUCUUGCUAGAGUUCGAGUGAGGUAUGCGGAAUGCGUUGUGUAGCGGUGAAAUGCAUAGAUAUGACGCAGAACUCCGAUUGCGAAGGCAGCAUACCAACUCGCGACUGACGCUGAGGCUCGAAAGCGUGGGUAUCGAACAGGAUUAGAUACCCUGGUAGUCCACGCAGUAAACGAUGAAUACUAACUGUUCGGAGGGCGACCUCUGAGUGGUAAAGCGAAAGCGUUAAGUAUUCCACCUGGGGAGUACGCCGGCAACGGUGAAACUCAAAGGAAUUGACGGGGGCCCGCACAAGCGGAGGAACAUGUGGUUUAAUUCGAUGAUACGCGAGGAACCUUA
rnacentral:rRNA from 1 species